CCUACGGGAGGCAGCAGUGAGGAAUAUUGGUCAAUGGGCGAGAGUCUGAACCAGCCAAGUCGCGUGAAGGAUGACUGCCCUAUGGGUUGUAAACUUCUUUUAUAUGGGAAUAAAAUGUUCCACGUGUGGGAUUUGGUAUGUACCAGAUGAAUAAGCAUCGGCUAACUCCGUGCCAGCAGCCGCGGUAAUACGGAGGAUCCGAGCGUUAUCCGGAUUUAUUGGGUUUAAAGGGUGCGUAGGUGGAUUGUUAAGUCAGUGGUGAAAGUUUGCGGGUCAACCGUAGAAUUGCGGUUGAAACUGGCAGUCUUGAGUGAAGUAGAGGUGGGCGGAAUGCGUGGUGUAGCGGUGAAAUGCUUAGAUAUCACGAAGAACUCCGAUUGCGAAGGCAGCUCACUGGACUGCAACUGACGCUGAGGCACGAAAGUGUGGGUAUCAAACAGGAUUAGAUACCCUUGUAGUC
rnacentral:rRNA from 1 species